rnacentral:rRNA from 1 species
UGAUCAGCCACACUGGGACUGAGACACGGCCCAGACUCCUACGGGAGGCAGCAGUGGGGAAUAUUGGACAAUGGGCGAAAGCCUGAUCAGCCAUGCCGCGUGUGUGAAGAAGGCCUUCGGGUUGUAAAGCACUUUCAGCGAGGAAGAACGCCUUGGGAUUAAUACUCUCGAGGAAAGACAUCACUCGCAGAAGAAGCACCGGCUAACUCCGUGCCAGCAGCCGCGGUAAUACGAAGGGUGCAAGCGUUAAUCGGAAUUACUGGGCGUAAAGCGCGCGUAGGUGGCUAAGUCAGCCAGGUGUGAAAGCCCCGGGCUCAACCUGGGAACGGCAUCUGGAACUGCUUGGCUAGAGUGCAGGAGAGGAAGGUAGAAUUCCCGGUGUAGCGGUGAAAUGCGUAGAGAUCGGGAGGAAUACCAGUGGCGAAGGCGGCCUUCUGGACUGACACUGACACUGAGGUGCGAAAGCGUGGGUAGCAAACAGGAUUAGAUACCCUGGUAGUCCACGCCGUAAACGAUGUCAACUAGCCGUUGGGUCCCUUAGGACUUAGUCGCAGCUAACGCAUAAUUGACCGCCUGGGAGUACGCCGCAAGGUUAAACUCAAUGAAUUGACGGGGCCCGCACAAGCGGUGAGCAUGUGGUUAAUUCGAUGCAACGCGAAGAACCUUACCUACCCUUGACAUCCAGAGGACUUUCCAGAGAUGGAUUGGUGCCUUCGGGAACUCUGAGACAGGUGCUGCAUGGCUGUCGUCAGCUCGUGUUGUGAAAUGUUGGGUUAAGUCCCGUAACGAGCGCAACCCCUAUCCUUAUUUGCCAGCGUAAGUCGGGAACUCUAAGGAGACUGCCGGUGACAAACCGGAGGAAGGUGGGGACGACGUCAAGUCAUCAUGGCCCUUACGGGUAGGGCUACACACGUGCUACAAUGGCAAGUACAAAGGGUUGCAAUACUGCGAAGUGGAGCCAAUCCCAUAAAGCUUGCCUCAGUCCGGAUUGGAGUCUGCAACUCGACUCCAUGAAGUCGGAAUCGCUAGUAAUCGUGGAUCAGAAUGCCACGGUGAAUACGUUCCCGGGCCUUGUACACACCGCCCGUCACACCAUGGGAGUGGACUGCACCAGAAGUGGUUAGCCUAACGGGAGGGCGAUCACCACGGUGUGGUUCAU